rnacentral:rRNA from 1 species
UACGAAGGGGGCUAGCGUUGUUCGGAAUUACUGGGCGUAAAGCGAACGUAGGCGGUGUUCCAUGUCAGAGGUGAAAGCCUGGGGCUCAACUCCAGAAUUGCCUUUGAAACGGGAACGCUUGAGUCCGAGAGAGGAUGGCGGAAUUCCUAGUGUAGAGGUGAAAUUCGUAGAUAUUAGGAAGAACACCGGUGGCGAAGGCGGCCAUCUGGCUCGGUACUGACGCUCAGGUUCGAAAGCGUGGGGAUCAAACAGG